GCCCCGGCACGGCCCGACGAGGGGCGGCCCGAGCGCGGCCCCGCUCUGCUGCUGUCCGCCUCCCGGGCAGACGGCAGCGGCGCGGCGGGGCGCGAUGGCGGCCGGGCUGGGGCCGUGGCUGCUGGCCUUGGCCUUGGGGCCGGCAGGUGUAUUUCUGAGAGAUGAAAUCCAUGCAAAGAAGUCUGCAGUGACGGUGCAAGCAGGGUGGACAGAGACCCUGCAAUGUACCUACAGCUCCAGCGCUUCCUAUAUUUACGUGGCCUGGUACCGGCAGCUUCCCAACAGGUCCCUGCAGUAUUUGCUUCAGAGCAAGGGCCGAGGAGGCUCAUACAACCAUACAGCCCCUUUUGCCCGCCUGAGGUUUUCAUCCCAGGCUGACGAGAGCUCUGGGACGCUGGUCAUCAGUGGGCUACAGCUGGAAGACAGCGCACUCUAUCUCUGCACCCUGCUGGGACCACAGUGAGAGACAGCCCUGGGUUGCUCAGACAAUAUCACCAUCGUCCACUCCUCCCCUCCAUCUUGUCCUUUUGCAGCCCAGCAUGAGCAGGGGGGAGAUAGGGACAGGAGGAAGGAGUCCAGAGCUGCAGGGAGAAGCGCAGGGGAUGCAGAUGGAACUGAAAUGAGGUGAAUGGAAUAAAAUUCGUCCAAGCAGAUUUCUGCAUGAUGCCUCUCCUCUCGUGGGAGGAGAGGGAGGCCAAGGAAGGAUGUCGGUGCGGGACUCGGGGAGGCACGUGGAAGGAAUGGCUGCAGACCGAGAGAGCCCGUGCGUGGGGGCAGCCGUGAUGUGUCCGACCGAGGAGCGCGGAGCCAAGGAGUGCCGGGGCGGCGCGCUCCGCCUCUGCCCCUCGCGCUGC